rnacentral:rRNA from 1 species
CUGGCGGCGUGCUUAACACAUGCAAGUCGAGCGAUGAAGUCUCUUCGGAGACGGAUUAGCGGCGGACGGGUGAGUAACACGUGGGUAACCUGCCUCAUAGAGGGGAAUAGCCUUCCGAAAGGAAGAUUAAUACCGCAUAAGAUUGAGUUUCGCAUGAAACAGCAAUUAAAGGAGUAAUCCGCUAUGAGAUGGACCCGCGUCGCAUUAGCUAGUUGGUGAGGUAACGGCUCACCAAGGCGACGAUGCGUAGCCGACCUGAGAGGGUGAUCGGCCACAUUGGGACUGAGACACGGCCCAGACUCCUAUGGGAGGCAGCAGUGGGGAAUAUUGCACAAUGGGGGAAACCCUGAUGCAGCAAACCGCCGCGUGAGUGAUGACGGUCUUCGGAUUGUAAAGCUCUGUCUUCAGGGACGAUAAUGACGGUACCUGAGGAGGAAGCCACGGCUAACUACGUGCCAGCAGCCGC